rnacentral:misc_RNA from 1 species
GCUUUGAAGGGAGAAGCAGGAGUGCUACAGUAGUUCUCGCUUAUUUAAUGCUCAGGAAGAAGUUUACUUUGUUGAAGGCAUGGAAUACAUUGAGACGAGUUCAUCGCCGAGCCCAACCUAAUGAUGGCUUUGCAAAGAUUCUUUUGGACCUAGAUCGCAAGUUGCAUGGUAAGGUUUCUAUGGAAUGGCAACAACGGAAGCCAAUCAUGAAGGUUUGCCCCAUCUGUGGAAAGAACGCUGGCUUGAGCAGCAGUUCGCUUAAACUUCAUUUGCAGAAAGCACACAAGAAACUAUCAUCUGGAAGUGUAGACAGUGCUAUGAACAUGGAGAUACAGAAGGCAUUAGAUGCACUCAAAAUAAGUCGAGGUGGAAGUGUCAGCCCUACUCAGAGACAAUCUUCCAUGAUUGAAGAAUUCGAAUCCUAAGGUUCAUAGUCUGCUCUGCUGGCCUGACCAACAUGAAGCUCAAUAUCUUUCCCAUGAUUAUCUACUUCCAAUAUCAAGCAAACAAGGUAAAACAUGUACAAGUAGUGUAAAAGAAUGUUUAUUAGCCCUACCUAAGCCAUGGUAAGUCGAGGGUGAAAAGUAGUCAUGUUGUGCAUGUUGUUGACCUUAACACCACAAUGUGUUUUGUCUUUGAG